UUCACGGUAUUGCAACGAGAACAAUUUAAAACCCUUAGCGAGAAUCAAGUGGAGGACAAGUCUGGUGCCAGCACCCGCGGUAAUUCCAGCUCCACUAGCGUAUAUUAAAGUUGUUGCAGUUAAAAAGCUCGUAGUUGAACCUCUGUCUGGGGCUAGUUUUGGCUUUGGUCAGGCUAGUUCUAGGCAUCCGCCUACAAGACUUAGAGGGCAUUCAGUUGUUCACUAGGAGGAGUAGGCAUUUUACUUUGAAAAAAUUAGAGUGUUUAAGGCAGGCAAUCGCCCGCAUAUAUUAGCAUGGAAUAAUAGAAUAGGACACUUUUCCAUUUCGUUGGUUAUUGGAAUCGUGUAAUGAUUAAUAGGGACAGUUGUGGGCAUUUGUAUUUAAUUGUCAGAGGUGAAAUUCUUGGAUUUAUUAAAGACAAACUAACGCGAAAGCAUUUGCCAAGGAUGUUUUCAUUAAUCAAGAACGAAAGUUAGGGGAUCAAAGACGAUCAGAUACCGUCCUAGUCUUAACUAUAAACUAUUCCGACUCAAUGUUUGACUGGCUUAUAUAACCAGUUGAGCGUUGUAUGAGAAAUCAAAGUCUUUAGGUUCUGGGGGGAGUAUGGUUGCAAAGCUGAAACUUAAAGGAAUUGACGGAAGAGCACAACCAGGAGUGGAUUCUGCGGCUUAAUUUGACUCAACACGGGGAAACUUACCAGGUUAAAACAAUAGUGGGAUUGACAGUUUGAGAGCGCUUUCUUGAUUGGUUGGGUGGUGGUGCAUGGCCGUUCUUAGUUGGUGGGGUGAUUUGUCUGCUUAAUUGCGUUAACGAACGAGACCUUAACCUGCUUACUAGACUGGCGAUCAUCAAUCGUUAGCUCUUCUUAGAGGGACUUUGGUUGUUUUAACUCCAAGGAAGUUUGAGGCAAUAACAGGUCUGUGAUGCCCUUAGAUAUCCUGGGCCGCACGCGUCAUACAAUGACUAGUUCAGAAAGUUUUCUCCUGACCCGAAAGGGGAUGGGUAAUCUUGAUAAUACUAGUCGUGUUAGGGAUCGAUCUUUGCAAUUAUAGAUCUUGAACGAGGAAUUCCUAGUAAGUGCGGUUCAUCAGACCGUACUGAUUACGUCCCUGCUCUUUGUACACACCGCCCGUCGCUUCUACCGAGUGGGUGGUCCGGUGAGAUAAUUGAACUUCGCAGGUAACUGAGAGGAAAGAUUAUCAAACCUAUCCACCU
rnacentral:rRNA from 1 species